GGCCUUAUGGGCAAAUUAUGGGUGAAUCACCUUGUGGUGAUAGAAUUGUUGGGAAUUGAGUAAUGGUUAUUAUGGCUUUGGAGGAUGGUAAGUUGGCUUAAUCUCAUAUUAUGGAUAAAAUUGUUCUUGCUUGGUUUGAUCCACUUAUGGUGGAGGUGUUUAAUUAUGGAAUGUAUUGUGACCAUGGCCUUGAAGGCAUAGUAUGAGAAAUUUAAGUGUUACAUGACAUUUUAUGAAUGGACAUUCAAUGGAGCUAAUGUGAUCAUGUUAUGAAAGUAAAUGUGUUAUUAUUGAAAGGAUUUUUCUCAAUUUGACACUCAUGAAUGUUGAUGAUAGAAUAUGAAGGAUUCUCCAAUUUAUUGCAUAUCUCGAAUCGGUAGAGCUUGUGCAUCCUUUUCUUGUUUAAAUGAUUAUAUUGUUGGUUGUGGAAUCCUCGAAUCGGUAGGCUAGUAGCACCCUUCCAAUCAUGAUAAUGAUG
rnacentral:lncRNA from 1 species